rnacentral:rRNA from 1 species
UACGGAGGGGGCUAGCGUUGUUCGGAAUUACUGGGCGUAAAGCGCGCGUAGGCGGCUUUGUAAGUUAGAGGUGAAAGCCCGGAGCUCAACUCCGGAACUGCCUUUAAGACUGCAUCGCUAGAAUUGUGGAGAGGUAAGUGGAAUUCCGAGUGUAGAGGUGAAAUUCGUAGAUAUUCGGAAGAACGCCAGUGGCGAAGGCGGCUCACUGGACUGGUAUUGACGCUGAGGUGCGAAAGCGUGGGGAGCAAACAGG